ACUUUUUUUUGUUUGCUGGAAGGGCUAAGAAUCAAAAAGCCUCUCAAAAAAAAAAAGUACUUUUUUGUGAAUAUCUGCAAACACAGUAGUUUGAAGCUUAAAGUAAUUAAUUGGUGAGUAUGCUAACACAGCAAAUCUUCUGCAAGAUGGAUUAUUUUGUCAUUUACUUGAUUUUUAUCAUACAGAAUAACAAGUUGGAUGGACUUCAUAUUCUCAUAUUCUUUGUGAUAAUUAACUAUUCCUUAGCUUUCAGUUGUGCCAAAAUCUAUUUUACAUUGGCAGUUAAUAGAUUAGGGAAAGCAGCUGAGUGAACCGGCUGGUCAAAUCUUUGCUGCUUGUGACUCAGUCAUUGCUAAAGUGAUAUUCAGUUGCUUUUUCUUCUUUGAAUUUCGUUCAAGAUAAUCUGUGGUGAUUGAAUUUCUAGCUAGGCACGAGGGAAAUUCUUCCAUUCUGGAUAGGUAAUAAGGGCAUGCUUAAGCUAUUGGAAUUAAAAAUAUAUAUAUUUUUAAAAUCUAACUGUACCAUAAUGCAGCUGCAAGUGCAUGGUAGCAAAUUACACUGAUUAUAUAUUACUCGAGGAAGUAGUCCAGGUUUAGAAUGCCACACCGUAGUAGUCUGGGACUUGGCAAGCUGUUGAAACAAACUGUAAAUUGAGACUCACUGACUGGAAAGAAAAAGGAUGUAUUUAAGAAAGAAUGAAUGCAUUUUGGGGUCUUGGAGAAGACAAAUCUCUCUUUAGGGAAAACCUGUUUACAGCAGUCAUAAUAUAUGUCUUCAGAGGCAUCUUUACAUCUUCCUUUACCUCCUUCUCUUGUCUGAAAACCCCUAAAUAUUUUACUUGAAGUUCAGGAACCAAUUCAGUUGUUAGCAAGAGUGAGUACAUAUUUCAUAAUUCUGUGUAUCACAGCACUCCUAUUUUGUGAUGCUGCUUUCUUGUUCUAGGUAUUUAUGUACCUGUGCGUCAUAAUAGAGACUUAACUAUUGAUGUUAGUGAAAUUAGGUGAAGUGUUGUAGAACAUACUGUACCAGAUCAGUUCUAGCAGCAGUGCAGUCUGAGAUAUCCCUGAACAGUUCUGCUUGUGAUCAGUCAGUAUAUACAAACAGGGAUGUUUCUCUUCUAACAGUUUGCAUUCUGUUCUGCCCUGCUGGUGCUGUAUUUGUCUCAUACUGCAGGUAUUGUUUUGACUUGAAAAAUUAUGGUCAGAAAACAUCUAGAAGUUGCUUUUAUAUUGGUUUGCGUAGUGAAUCUUGAUCAUCCUGAAAUCCGUCAUUUCCCAGGAUAGUGCUGCAGAACGAGCAGAAUUCUCAGUGUUUGAUCACAGUUUCUCCUAUUUCAAGCAUUUUGCAGUGGUUUUCUCACCUUCCCUCCUCUGCAAGGCUCAUGGCAGUUCAGUAACUGUGCUGCACUUAAAAUUGUUUCAAAAGCAUAGCAAAUGGUUUCUGGUUUUGAAAACCAUUUUCAAGCAAAAAGCUGCAGUUAAACGUACCACUCACAUUGAAGUGAUUGCAGUGGCACUGACAGCAUUUCACCAAACUGAGCACUACCCCAGUCUCAACAGAUGAGAAGAGUUCGUUUGUUGUUGUUUUGAUUUUUGGUUGGUUUUGUGCUGUUGUUUUGUGUUGGGUUUUUCACUCAAGUUAGCUUGACCUAAUUGAAAAAGCCUUACUGGUUGUCAUGGCUUUCACUAAGCACAUACUCAUUUCCUGCUUCAGCUGCUUGUACACGGGCACAAAACCACACUGGGGUGGCUGGGAACACCUCAGGUGACCAUGCCAUGGCAGUGAGGUUCAGCCAUUGCAUGAAUACUUAACGGACAAGAGCAGGCCUGCAUUUUUGCAGGCAAACAGCAGCUUUUCAUGUGUUACCAAACACAUACUGAUGCUCACUCUUUUUCCUGGAUACCCUGACAGAUAUACAGUUGUCCAUCUUAAGUUAGUUUCACAAGAGCCCUUAUCUGCUAGUAAGCCUCCAGAGAAAGGGUUCAGGCUCUGCUCGAGCUCUGAGAGAAGUGUGCUGUAAGGGCAGUUUCUCAAAUCACAGGCAUAGGCCAGUUGAUUUGAUUCAUGGUACAGCAGGGAAGUUCUUGUCCUACUCACUUGGUCUGUGUGCAGAUGGGUCCCAUGAAACACGUUCAAAGGUGAAGUUAAACGAAACCUUGGCUAUAUACAUUUGACAGCAAGCAGUAUCAGUAUAUUCAGAGAAAAUUAGAAUAUUUUUCAAGUAUGUUUUAAUUUUAUGUAGUGCAUCUUUUCUGGUUAAACGUCUGGGAUGGAAACAGAGAAAUUUAUUUUUAAAAAGUCUGUGUAAGUACAUAGUUCCAGCUCCCAUCACAAGCAGGGUUAGGGAACAGAGCAGGGAGCUUGGGAGCACGCUUCAACAAGAAAUGCCGGGGAGGGGCUGAGUUCCCUCUGUAGUUCUGUUGACUGGGGACACUUGAUCUAGGCUUCACCUGUUUGCGGGAGCCUUGUAUUAUAUUAUACAGACGAUCAAUUAGCUAAUUAUAAAAUGGGGCUUCUCCGUGAAAUACACUUUCUGCUCCAUUUUUCUCUGCUGCCCGACGGUAGAACCUGAGGGAAGGGCAUGGAACUGCAUCAGGGGAGGUUAGGUAGGGUGUUAGGAACAGGUUCUGCACCAGAGGGCGGCGGGCACUGGAACAGGCUGCCCAAGGCAGCGCUCUCGGACCCGCGCUGCCGGAUUCCGAGGAGCGCUCGGACCCCGCUGGCAGACUCAAGGCUGUUGGGGCCGGGAGCCUCGUCCCCUGCAGCCACCACAGCGCCCCCUGCCGACCUCACCUCUGCGCUGCACCGCGCCGGUCCCCGGCCCGCCCCUGAGAGGAGGGCAGGCGCUGCGGGAGCCAAUGGGCGGCGGCGAGCAGCAGCAGCUGGCGGCUGGUUUAAAGCCGCGGCGGCAAGACCGGCUCGCCCUAAGUGUCGAGCCGCACUACUCUGAGCUUUAACAACUUCGACUCCAAGCGACAAGUCGCUGCGAUGCGCCGUGCCAUACCGCAGAACACCGACAGGUCAGCCGAGACGGUGCCCGACGACACCGACGGGUGCGCCGUGCCCGCUGCGAAUCCGGAUGACGCAAGGAGGCGGCGGGAGCCCUCUACGCGCACCGCACUACUAGACGUCUGCAGCAAUCUCAGCCGGCUCCCGCCUCGGGCCCCCGGGAGGUUCAGCGGGAGCGAGGCGGGUUCCAGCACCACCGUAACCGCUGCCCCGUCGCGGGUCCUCAGCAGGUUCAGGAGGAGGGGGACGAGUUUCGGCAGCCCCUUCCCAGCUGCCCUGCCCGGGAGGAAGCCGUGGUGCAGGAAUGCGCGGAAAGCCGCCGCCAAAGAGGCCGUGCUGCUACCGCUGCUGCAGGAGGAGCUGAAGCCUAAGCAGCUAGAAUACAAAUCUCCUACAGAAACAUCAGAGUGUGCCUCAACAGAAACUCAGCUGUGCAAGGCUUUUUCUGACGUCCUGCUCGAAGUAGAAGUUGUGAACGCUGAAGGCAGUGCAGAUUCCUAUCCAUGCAACGAUUAUGAGAGAGACAUCUACAACUAUCUUAGAGAUCUUGAGAUGAGACAAGCGAUCAAGCCCCAGUACUUAGCAGGCCAGGAGAUUACUGGGACCAUGCGCGCAAUGCUGAUUGAUUGGCUUGUACAAAUACAUCUAAAAUUGAAACUCUUUCAAGAAACUCUGUAUUUAUCUGUUGCAAUACUCGAUCGCUUUCUACAGGACAAUGCUGAGACAAAAAGGAACUUAAAAUUGGUUGGCAUCACAGCGUUGUUCCUUGCUAGUAAAUAUGAAGAGAUAAACAUUCCACCGAUUGAUGAUUUUUCCAGUGCAACUGCUAAUGCUUUCACGGCAACCCAAAUUUGCCGGAUGGAAACAAAGAUUCUACAAGCCCUGGACUUUAGUUUCAGUCGUCCUCUCCCUCUACACUUUCUAAGAAGAGCUUCAAAAUUUGUAGAGGUGGAUGAGGAACAGCAGUUCCUAGCGAAGUACCUGUUGGAGUUAUCCAUCCUGGACUACGAUAUGGUUCACUUCCCUCCAUCCAUGACUGCUGCUGCUGCUUUCUGCUUGGCUAUGAAGCUUGUUGAUGGAGGUACCUGGCUCGUUUUCCUUUCAGACAUCAACUCUGGAACAGCACACAUCAUACAGUGAGAGUGACCUCCACCCUGUCAUGCAACAUCUGGCAAAGAACGUAGUUCUUGUGAACAAAGGCAUGACUGAGCACAUGGCAGUAAAGAACAAAUAUGCCCGAAGCGAAAACUUCAAGAUAAAAACUCAGAUGCAGCUGAACUCUCCGCUCAUCUAUGACCUCGCCCUGCCUUUGGUGGAUUCUUUCUCUGAAUUCCAGUAGUCUCAGCACUGAGUUUCUAUCUAUACUGUGUCUUACAUGUUUCACUUCUAAUAAUAAAGGAUGUUGUCUCCUGUUCUGCUGCAA